AAGGCUUCACAGCCUUUUGGCUAAGAUCAAGUGUAGUAUCUGUUCUUAUCAGUUUAAUAUUUGAUACGUCCCCUAUCUGGGGAUCAUAUAUUAAACUGAUUUUUGAAACAAGGAAGAUAGGCGAAGUGGUGGCUUUGAGGCUAAGGAUCUCUGGUAUCUGGAAGGUUGCUGGUUCAAAUCUUGUUACUGCCAGAAGAGAU
rnacentral:snRNA from 1 species